rnacentral:miRNA from 1 species
CUCGGGCCCGACCGCGCCGGCCCGCACCUCCCAGCCCGGAGCUGCGAGCUGCGGUCGGGGCGGUCCCGGG